UGCACUCAGGGAUAGAAUAGCGGUCCACUUGGCAGCCUCCUUUUCUAUCCCUGGGACUGG
ensembl:miRNA mdo-mir-1544f mdo-mir-1544f